rnacentral:rRNA from 1 species
UACAGAGGUCUCAAGCGUUGUUCGGAUUCAUUGGGCGUAAAGGGCGCGUAGGCGGCGGGGUAAGUCGGGUGUGAAAUCUCAGAGCUCAACUCUGAAACUGCACUCGAUACUGCUCUGCUUGAGGACUGGAGAGGAGACUGGAAUUCACGGUGUAGCAGUGAAAUGCGUAGAUAUCGUGAGGAAGACCAGUGGCGAAGGCGGGUCUCUGGACAGUUCCUGACGCUGAGGCGCGAAGGCCAGGGGGAGCAAAACGGG